rnacentral:rRNA from 1 species
GAAAAAAGACAAGGGCAGACGGUGGAUGCCUUGGCUCUCGGAAGCGAAGAAGGACGUGAUAAGCUGCGAAAAGCUACGGGUAUCGGCACAUACGAAUUGAUCCGUAGAUCUCCGAAUGGGGCAACCCGGCAUAUGGAAGAUAUGUCACUGUGCAGAGCACAGAGCAGACGUGGGGAACUGAAACAUCUUAGUACCCAUAGGAAAAGAAAACAAAAGUGAUUCCCUUAGUAGUGGCGAGCGAACGGGGAGUAGCCCAAACCGGCUUUGUUUCGGCAAAGUCGGGGUAAUAGGAUCAGACGACAAAUUAUAUAAAGACUUUAGUAGAAUUGUGUUGGAAAGCACAGCCAGAGAGCGUGACAGCCGCGUAGACGAAAAGGUCGCUAUAUAAGAGUUUGACACCUGAGUAGCUCGGGACACGUGAAAUCCUGAGUGAAUUAGCGGGGCCCAUCCCGUAAGGCUAAAUAUACCCGAGAGACCGAUAGUGAACAAGUACCGUGAGGGAAAGGUGAAAAGGACCUCGAACAGAGGAGUGCAAUAGACCCUGAACCCGUCUGCCUACAAGCGGUAGGAGCCCCUACGUGGGGUGACUGCGUGCCUUUUGCAUAAUGAACCUACGAGUUGCCGUUGCUGGCAAGGCUAACCGGCUAGAGUCGGGUACCCGGAGCGAAAGCGAGUCUGAAUAGGGCGUUUAUAGUCAGCAGGGGCAGACGCGAAACCAAGUGAUCUACCCUUGGCCAGGUUGAAGGUUAGGUAACACUAAUUGGAGGACCGCAUCGGUAAGCGUUGAAAAGCUUUCGAAUGAGCUGAGGGUAGGGGUGAAAGGCUAAUCAAACUUGGAGAUAGCUCGUACUCCCCGAAAUGCAUUUAGGUGCAGCCUGUGGAGUUUCUUACGUGAGGUAGAGCGACUGAUUGGAUGCGAGGCUUUCACCGGCUAUCAAGUCCAGACAAACUCCGAAUGCUUAUAAGUUAUCCUGGGAGUGAGGGCAUGGGUGCUAAGGUCCAUGUCCUAAAGGAGAAGAAUCCGGACCAUCGGCUAAGGUCCCUAAAUCACUGCUAAGUUGGACAAACGCGGUCAAGAUGCGAAGACAGCUAGGAUGUUGGCUUGGAAGCAGCCAUUCAUUUAAAGAGUGCGUAACAGCUCACUAGUCGAGGAUUUUGGCAUGGAUAAUAAUCGGGCAUAAGCAGUGUACCGAAGCUGUGGGAUGUUUAAACAUCGGUAGGGGAGCAUUCUAACGGAGCAGAAGAUUCGAAGGUGAUUCGGGUUGGAUUUGUUAGAAAAGCAAAUGUAGGUAUAAGUAACGAUAAAGGGGGUCAGAAACCCCCUCGCCGAAAGACCAAGGUUUCCUGAUCAACGCUAAACGGAUCAGGGUUAGUCGGGCCCUAAGCGGAAGCCGAACGGCGCACGCGAUGGCAGAAUGGGUUAAUAUUCCCAUACUAAUCAUAUGAGUGAUGUGGAGACGGAGAAGUGACAGUACGGCCAACUGACGGAAUAGUUGGUUAAAGGGUGUAGAUGUAGAUUGGGGUAGGCAAAUCCGCCCUGAGAGUCGAACCUGAUAGUACAGAGCGUGCAUGCACAAUCUGAAAAGUACGUAACCAGGCUCCCAAGAAAAUCCGCUAAACAUAUUGUAUGAUUACCCGUACCGUAAACCGACACAGGUGGUUGGGUUGAGUAUACUAAGGCGCUCGAGUGAUUCGCGGUUAAGGAACUAGGCAAAAUAGUCCUGUAACUUCGGGAAAAAGGACGCCUCUGAAUGAUCAGAGGUCGCAGAGAAAAGGCCCUGGCGACUGUUUAACAAAAACACAUGGCUAUGCGAAAUAGAAAUAUGCAGUAUAUAGCCUGACACCUGCCCGGUGCCGGAAGGUUAAGAGGAGAGGUCAUCUUUUUUGGAGAAGCUUUGAAUUGAAGCCCCGGUAAACGGCGGCCGUAACUAUAACGGUCCUAAGGUAGCGAAAUUCCUUGUCGGGU